AUGUACAUAGGAGACACCGAGAGAGUGAAUAAUUCUCAAAAGAUAACCUUGAGUCUACAAGAUCCAAGACACAAAGGAACCUUUCCUACACGAUCCUACAUCUUUGAAUCUCAGCAGGAACUUGAAUCCCUUUACCUCCUCCCAGCUCUGCCUUGCUGCCCACCCAGCAUUCUGGAAUCCACACCUUCGUCCUGCUCAGCACAGGAAAACUUCGUUCCUCUCCCUUCGGUGUCCUCCCCUGCUCAUGCAGCCAAAGAGGUGACAUGGUGGUUGGCGGGGGUGGUUGCUGGGAUCUUGUCUCACCCUCACCUCCGUCGCUCCCCAACCAGGUUUUACUAUCAUGCAGGUUCAGGUGGCCUGGACUUGGGUAAACCCAGUCACCCUGGAGAAGUGUCUUUAUAGGAAAAUGCAUUAUUAAUUGGAAGUGAACUCUACCUUCUGGAAGUUUCUGUUGGGCUGGCGAGGGCAUGGAUCCAUUCAUGGUGAAGGCAGGGGCCAAUAAAGGGACAAAUACUGCCCACUUUCCCUGCUUCUCUGUUUUCCUUUACAUUUUUAUUUUAUAUUCAGCGAGCUGUGAGUUUCUAAAAUGCUAACUAGGAACAUUCUUAAUUUUGAGAACAUAUUUGAAAGGCAAAAACUGACAUUUUUACUUGCAAUAUUUGUUCACAUAAAUAUAUU
rnacentral:lncRNA from 1 species